CGGAGUGUGGUAUAACGGCAGUACAUACCCUUCGGGAGGGUAAAGCCCGAGUUCGACUCUCGGCACUCCGA
rnacentral:tRNA from 1 species